rnacentral:rRNA from 1 species
GACGGGGGGGGCAAGUGUUCUUCGGAAUGACUGGGCGUAAAGGGCACGUAGGCGGUGAAUCGGGUUGAAAGUGAAAGUCGCCAAAAAGUGGCGGAAUGCUCUCGAAACCAAUUCACUUGAGUGAGACAGAGGAGAGUGGAAUUUCGAUGUGUAGGGGUGAAAUCCGAUAAAUAUACGAAGGAACGCCAAAAGCGAAGGACAGCUCGUCUGGGUCCCUCA